rnacentral:misc_RNA from 1 species
GCCAUACAUUAUAUCAAUUAACAUGGCCACCGUGAUUGAGCAAUGUCAAGUUGCGCCACCCCCCGGCGGUGCAACGGAGGUGACACUCCCUCUUACUUAUUUAGAUCUUUUUUGGUUAGGGUUUCAUCGUAUGCGACGGAUACUAUUCUACAAGCUUUCCAUUUCCAAAUCCGAUUUCGUUCAAAACAUUAUUCCUCCUCUUAAGAAUUCACUCUCCCUCACUCUCAAACACUAUACGCCCUUAGCCGGAAACGUUGCUUGUCCACUAGAUACAAACGGAUAUCCUGAGUUACGUUAUGUGACAGGAGAUUCUGUGUCUGUUACUUUUUUCGAGACUGAUAUGAAUUUCAAUUAUCUCAUUGGUGACCAUCCGCGUAAGGCUAAGGAUUUUUAUCACUUUGUUCCUAAGUUAGGGGAACCUAAGGAUGCACCGGGGGUCCAACUAGCCCCGCUCUUAGCCAUUCAGGUGACACUUUUUCCGAAUCUUGGUGUAUCCAUUGGUUUCACUAACCAUCAUGUUGUUGGUGAUGGAGCUACUAUAGCAGGGUUCAUUAAGGCGUGGGCUCUACUCCACAAAUUCGGUGGACAUGAACAAUUCUUAUCGAAUGAGCUAAUUCCAUUUUAUGAUAGGUCCGUAGUAAAAGACCCAUAUGGACAAGGGAUGUCCAUCUGGGAAGAAAUGAAAAGCAAGAAUCUAGAUAUGCGUGACGUUAUGACUCCUCCUCCUGAACACAAGGUUCGAGGUACAUUUACUAUUAAAAGAGAUGAAAUAGAGAAACUGAAGAAUUUUAUAUUGAACUCAAGA